ensembl:lncRNA
CUGAGAGCAGGAUAGACGAGGAACAAAAAAAACAAGCUUGUGUCCCUGGAGUGAGAGGAGGCGCCGUUGGGAGCAGGUCUUACAGCAGUGGCUGCAGUCACGCUGCUCUUUUAGCCACGGUGUGGGGAUACUCCACACAGAUGAAGGAUUUUCCAUGUUGAGAAAGAGAGACAGACGGAGAGAGACCAACAGAGAGAGAUAGAGUCCUAGAACUUAGAGAUUCAUCGUUUGACCUCCGUGCCAAAGGAUCUUCCUCCAUGACGCUGGUGGUGGUGUGACUAUGGAUGGCGUGCCUCGGCCCUGGAGGACCCAAUCUCUUUCUCCGUCGACGCAUGGAGCCUAAUCCCGGAGGAGAAGGGGAUGCAGGAGGGUUUGCGAUUCUUAAUGAAAACAACAGAGUGUAACCACAUCAGCAGAAUGAAGCCCAGAUCAUCUUGCUCACCGAUGAUAACAGGUUCCUGAGGCAGGGCCACGCCUGAACUCUAAGACUAUUUUUACUCACCCACACUCAAACACACACU